CCUACGGGAGGCUGCAGUGGGGAAUAUUGCACAAUGGGCGCAAGCCUGAUGCAGCCAUGCCGCGUGUGUGAAGAAGGCCUUCGGGUUGUAAAGCACUUUCAGCGGGGAGGAAGGCGUUAAGGUUAAUAACCUUGGCGAUUGACGUUACCCGCAGAAGAAGCACCGGCUAACUCCGUGCCAGCAGCCGCGGUAAUACGGAGGGUGCAAGCGUUAAUCGGAAUUACUGGGCGUAAAGCGCACGCAGGCGGUCUGUCAAGUCGGAUGUGAAAUCCCCGGGCUCAACCUGGGAACUGCAUUCGAAACUGGCAGGCUAGAGUCUUGUAGAGGGGGGUAGAACUCCAGGUGUAGCGGUGAAAUGCGUAGAGAUCUGGAGGAAUACCGGUGGCGAAGGCGGCCCCCUGGACAAAGACUGACGCUCAGGUGCGAAAGCGUGGGGAGCAAACAGGAUUAGAUACCCGUGUAGUC
rnacentral:rRNA from 1 species